UACGUAGGUGACAAGCGUUGUCCGGAUUUACUGGGCGUAAAGAGCGCGCAGGCGGUCGUUCAAGUCGAGUGUGAAAGCCCCCGGCUCAACUGGGGAGGGUCACUCGAUACUGAUCGACUUGAAGGCAGGAGAGGGAAGCGGAAUUCCCGGUGUAGUGGUGAAAUGCGUAGAUAUCGGGAGGAACACCAGUGGCGAAGGCGGCUUCCUGGCCUGCUCUUGACGCUGAGGCGCGAAAGGUAGGGGAGCAAACAGG
rnacentral:rRNA from 1 species